rnacentral:rRNA from 1 species
GACGAACGCUGGCGGCGUGCUUAACACAUGCAAGUCGAACGGUGAAGCGCCUUCCUUUUUGGUGGGUGUGGAUGAGUGGCGAACGGGUGAGUAACACGUGAGUAACCUGCCCCCUUCUUCUGGAUAACCGCAUGAAAGUGUGGCUAAUACGGGAUAUUCUGGGUCUGUCGCAUGAUGGGUCUGGGAAAGAUAUUGUUUCGGUGGGGGAUGGGCUCGCGGCCUAUCAGCUUGUUGGUGGGGUGAUGGCCUACCAAGGCGGUGACGGGUAGCCGGCCUGAGAGGGUGGACGGUCACACUGGGACUGAGACACGGCCCAGACUCCUACGGGAGGCAGCAGUGGGGAAUAUUGCACAAUGGGCGCAAGCCUGAUGCAGCGACGCCGCGUGAGGGAGGGAGGCCUUCGGGGUGUGAACCUCUUUCGCCAGUGAAGCAGGCCUGCCUCGUUUGUGGGUGGGUUGACGGUAGCUGGAUAAGAAGCGCCGGCUAACUACG